AUUGAACGCUGGCGGCAGGCCUAACACAUGCAAGUCGAACGAGUGGCGGACGGGUGAGUAAUGUCUGGGAAACUGCCCGAUGGAGGGGGAUCACUACUGGAAACGGUAGCUAAUACCGCAUACCAUCGGAUGUGCCCAGAUGGGAGUAGCUAGUAGGGGGGGUAAUGGCUCACCUAGGCGACGAUCCCUAGCGGGUCUGAGAGGAUGACCAGCCACACUGGAAUUGAGACACGGUCCAGACUCCUACGUGAGGCAGCAGUGGGGAAUAUUUCACAAUGGGCGCAAGCCUGAUGCAGCCAUGCCUCGUGUAUGAAGAAGGCCUUCGGGUUGUAAAGUACUUUCAGCGGGGAGGCGUUACCCGCAGAAGAAGCACCGGCUAACUCCGUGCCAGCAGCCGCGGUAAUAC
rnacentral:rRNA from 1 species